GAUGAUCAACCACACUGGGACUGAGACACGGCCCAAACUCCUACGGGAGGCAACAGUGGGGAAUAUUGCACAAUGGGCGCAAGCCUGAUGCAGCCAUGCCGCGUGUGUGAASAAGGCCUUCGGGUUGUAAAGCACUUUCARUAACGAUGAAARGUUAAGUGUUAAUARCACUUAGCUGUGACGUUACUUACARAAGAAGCACCCGCUAACUCCGUGCCAGCANSCGCGGUAAUACGGAGGGUGCGAGCGUUWAUCGSAAUUACUGGGCGUAAAGCGUACGCACGCSGGUUGUUAAGCGAGAUGUKAAAGCCCGGGCUCWMCYUGGGAAMUGCAUUUCGAACUGGCAAACUAGAGUGUGUGAUAGAGGGUGAUAGAAUUUCAGGGUGUAYGCGGUGAAAUGCGUAGAGUUCUGAAGGGAAUACCGAUGGGGUARGCYGCCACYGUGAGGUCAAACACUGACGGCUCAUGUACGAAAGCGUGGGGAGSAACACGGGGUUUAGAUCCCSUGGUUGUCCACSCCUGUAAACGAUAUMUACUGAGGCUCGGGUYUUCGGACUUGUUUUUCAAAGCUAACGCAUUAAGUAGACCGUCCUGGGGAGUACGGCCGCAAGGUUAAAACUCUAAUGAAUUGACGGGGGCCCSCACAAGCGGUGGACYAUGUGGUUUAAUUUKAUGCAACGGGAAGACCCYYACYUACACYUGMCAUCCRGAGAACUUACCAGAGAUGGUUUG
rnacentral:rRNA from 1 species